GCAGCUAUUCUUCGGCCCAUGGUUUUAUUAAGCAUCAGUCGCCACGAAUGCCUGGAAUGUAACAUCGCACAUUACUGUUAACAUGCAUCAAAUUGGUCCCAAAUUAGAGGACCAGCAGAGAGUUCCGUUCUAAGUCCUGAAUCACUGUGAUGUACAGUGCCUUAGAUCUAUGCUAAACAACACCUCACUGCAGUGGUCUCCGUGUACUUGAGUGCUUUUUGUUUUAGCUGUGUCUGUGCAGUCACUCUGGAUCCUUCACCUGAGAAAGGCUCUUAUUUCUUCUUAUUCAUGCACUUUUUUCCCUGGAUGUGCUUUUGCAUAACUGUGUAUUUGCAGUGAAGACACUGGUCUGACGAGAUUACUCACAUCUCAUCCUACAUCCUCUGACUUUUUCUUCUUUUUAAGGACCCCCUCUGCACCCCUGGACCUCAGGCUGACACCCACCCACUCCACUGACUGCACAGCGAACGGAUUUGAUUAAUUUCAGGCGAGCUGCGCCACCUUGACGGCAUUUAAUCAUUGAGAAAAGACAGGAAACGUACUCAUUCCUUAUCCUCCUGCUCUCCCACCCCACCCCGCCUCUCCUGUCCUCUCCUCUCUCCUGCCGUCUCCGGUGCGUCUGUUCGCUCUGAAAAGCGGCGGUGUGCGUGUGUGGAGGAGCCGGAGGAGCGCUGCACUGUUCUGCGCACUGGUUCCGCUGGACAUCACCGAAUAACGGCGCUCGACAACCGGGUGGUGGUGGAGGGGGAGACUGGACCCGGAGCAGGAGCAGGGGAAGCACCGUGGCUCUUUACAGCCCGCUCUCCGAAAACAUGUCGGAGUUUUUUCUACUCGCCUUUCUAGCCCUGUUCUCGGGAUUAUUUCCGUGCGCCGAGCCCUCGACGGUGUCGGACGAGGAGAAAGGUUAUGGUGUAACACGCAGCUUUUGGCCCUCGCUUCUAGAGGACAUUGUUUUCUGGAUGGUGCAACCCAGAAACAACACAAAGGGUCCGGUUCAGUCCUGACAGAAACAUUCUUGGAUCUUUCUGGAACGACAUCCAGUAUUAAAAAAUCCACCAAAUCAAACAUGCAGAGCUACCGGCUGUUAUGGAUCAUGGUGCCGCCUAAAGUAGCGAGUGCCAUAGACACACAUACAGCUGACCCUAACCAUGUGUGCUUAUAGAAAUGUUUAUUAUUAUACCUGGACUGACACUGAGAGAGUUUUUGCUUAUAUUACAUUGACUUUAUAUAAUAUCAGGACUCUGGAUGAAGCAAUAUUAAAGCUGAGAGUUUCAGUGUUUAACGUGCACAUGCACAUGUAUGUCAUGUGUACUACAUACCUGUCAAAAAUAAAAGCUUAUUUUUUUC
rnacentral:lncRNA from 1 species